rnacentral:rRNA from 1 species
UAAGGAAUAUUGGACAAUGGAGGCAACUCUGAUCCAGCCAUGCCGCGUGAAGGAAUAAGGCCCUAUGGGUUGUAAACUUCUUUUAGACGGGACAAAACCCCUUUACGUGUAAAGGGUUGAUGGUACUGUCAGAAUAAGCAUUGGCUAACUUCGUGCCAGCAGCCGCGGUAAUACGAAGGAUGCAAGCGUUAUCCGGAAUUAUUGGGUUUAAAGGGUGCGUAGGCGGACUAAUAAGUCAGUGGUGAAAGCCUGCAGCUUAACUGCAGAAUUGCCAUUGAUACUGUUAGUCUUGAGUACAGUUGAGGUAGGCGGAAUGUGUCAUGUAGCGGUGAAAUGCUUAGAUAUGACACAGAACACCGAUUGCGAAGGCAGCUUGCUAAGCUGUAACUGACGCUGAGGCACGAAAGCGUGGGGAGCAAACA